CCUGGCUCAGGACGAACGCUGGCGGCGCGCCUAACACAUGCAAGUCGAACGAGAGAUGAGGAGCUUGCUCUUCAGAUCGGGUGGCGAACGGGUGAGUAACGCGUGAGGAACCUGCCUCAAAGAGGGGGACAACAGUUGGAAACGACUGCUAAUACCGCAUAAGCCCACGGCUCGGCAUCGAGCAGAGGGAAAAGGAGCAAUCCGCUUUGAGAUGGCCUCGCGUCCGAUUAGCUGGUUGGUGAGGUAACGGCCCACCAAGGCGACGAUCGGUAGCCGGACUGAGAGGUUGAACGGCCACAUUGGGACUGAGACACGGCCCAGACUCCUACGGGAGGCAGCAGUGGGGAAUAUUGCACAAUGGGGGAAACCCUGAUGCAGCGACGCCGCGUGGAGGAAGAAGGUCUUCGGAUUGUAAACUCCUGUUGUUGAGGAAGAUAAUGACGGUACUCAACAAGGAAGUGACGGCUAACUACGUGCCAGCAGCCGCGGUAAAACGUAGGUCACAAGCGUUGUCCGGAAUUACUGGGUGUAAAGGGAGCGCAGGCGGGAGAACAAGUUGGAAGUGAAAUCCAUGGGCUCAACCCAUGAACUGCUUUCAAAACUGUUUUUCUUGAGUAGUGCAGAGUAGGCGGAAUUCCCGGUGUAGCGGUGGAAUGCGUAGAUAUCGGGAGGAACACCAGUGGCGAAGGCGGCCUACUGGGCACCAACUGACGCUGAGGCUCGAAAGUGUGGGUAGCAAACAGGAUUAGAUACCCUGGUAGUCCACACCGUAAACGAUGAUUACUAGGUGUUGGAGGAUUGACCCCUUCAGUGCCGCAGUUAACACAAUAAGUAAUCCACCUGGGGAGUACGACCGCAAGGUUGAAACUCAAAGGAAUUGACGGGGGCCCGCACAAGCAGUGGAGUAUGUGGUUUAAUUCGACGCAACGCGAAGAACCUUACCAAGUCUUGACAUCCCUUGACGAACAUAGAAAUAUGUUUUCUCUUCGGAGCAAGGAGACAGGUGGUGCAUGGUUGUCGUCAGCUCGUGUCGUGAGAUGUUGGGUUAAGUCCCGCAACGAGCGCAACCCUUAUGGUCAGUUACUACGCAAGAGGACUCUGGCCAGACUGCCGUUGACAAAACGGAGGAAGGUGGGGAUGACGUCAAAUCAUCAUGCCCUUUAUGACUUGGGCUACACACGUACUACAAUGGCGUUAAACAAAGAGAAGCAAGACCGCGAGGUGGAGCAAAACUCAGAAACAACGUCCCAGUUCGGACUGCAGGCUGCAACUCGCCUGCACGAAGUCGGAAUUGCUAGUAAUCGUGGAUCAGCAUGCCACGGUGAAUACGUUCCCGGGCCUUGUACACACCGCCC
rnacentral:rRNA from 1 species